CUCAAUCACACAGGAACAAGAAGGCUU
rnacentral:piRNA from 1 species